rnacentral:rRNA from 1 species
GUUUGAUCCUGGCUCAGGAUGAACGCUGGCGGCGUGCUUAACACAUGCAAGUCGAACGAUGAUCCCAGCUUGCUGGGGGAUUAGUGGCGAACGGGUGAGUAACACGUGAGUAACCUGCCCUUAACUCUGGGAUAAGCCUGGGAAACUGGGUCUAAUACCGGAUAUGACUCCUCAUCGCAUGGUGGGGGGUGGAAAGCUUUAUUGUGGUUUUGGAUGGACUCGCGGCCUAUCAGCUUGUUGGUGAGGUAAUGGCUCACCAAGGCGACGACGGGUAGCCGGCCUGAGAGGGUGACCGGCCACACUGGGACUGAGACACGGCCCAGACUCUACGGGAGGCAGCAGUGGGGAAUAUUGCACAAUGGGCGAAAGCCUGAUGCAGCGACGCCGCGUGAGGGAUGACGGCCUUCGGGUUGUAAACCUCUUUCAGUAGGGAAGAAGCGAAAGUGACGGUACCUGCAGAAGAAGCGCCGGCUAACUACGUGCCAGCAGCCGCGGUAAUACGUAGGGCGCAAGCGUUAUCCGGAAUUAUUGGGCGUAAAGAGCUCGUAGGCGGUUUGUCGCGUCUGCCGUGAAAGUCCGGGGCUCAACUCCGGAUCUGCGGUGGGUACGGGCAGACUAGAGUGAUGUAGGGGAGACUGGAAUUCCUGGUGUAGCGGUGAAAUGCGCAGAUAUCAGGAGGAACACCGAUGGCGAAGGCAGGUCUCUGGCAUUAACUGACGCUG